GCUCAGCGGAGUGUCUGUAAAAAGUCUGAAGAAGGGCAAAAAUAACUGUGAAGAACUCAAACAGAAGAUAAGACUUAUUUAAAGAAGUAAAAUAUCCUUAAAGUCUCUAAAAAGACUGAAAAACACAAACACACAAAAUCCAAGACAGAAAUUAUUCAUACAUUUGAAUAAGUCUGAAUAAGCCCUUAAAAGACUAAAAUAUCUUCCCUAAAUCAGCUCAAACAUUUGAAAUAUUUUUCCAAAAGCUCUUCAACUUGCUUAACGGUUUCUAAAAUAACUAAAGAAUCUGUUUUAAGUUCAUAAAAAUACUAAAAUAUUUGAAAAAAUUCCCUAAAAGACUGGUUUCUAAAAACCCUUAAAGGACUAAAACCACUUUAAAAGUCCCUAAAACUGCUUAAAAUUGUGAGUUCAUUAUGUGUCUAAAAGCCCUAUAAGAUAUUUCGUUUCUAAAAUGACUUAAGAAAAGUCUUUAAAAAGACCAAACUAUUUUAAAAAGUCUUUUUUAAGCUCGUCUCUUCCCCGAUCAUCAACCUUCUAACAUUUCAGAUUUUAAACCAGAUUUUUUGGACGCUGCGUAACUGAAGGACUCGUUCAUGCUCGGCCUUGGGACAUCAGACGAUUGGUUUGCUGCUCGUGUUCUUACCUGACUCUAUUUUCUCUAUCGCGCUCUCUCUCGGUCUGUUUAACCAACAGGACCGUUGUAGAAACAUCAGAGUUGUAAGGGAUGUCACCGGCUUCUGUUGUGACGACAACAAACCUGUUUUCACAGAUCACCGGUCAGCUGCUCAGUGUCAACAGAGUCUGGCUUUAGAGGAGACGAUCUGCCUCUGGCCUGCCCUUCACCUGUCCACUCUCACCUGUAGGGGAAAAAGGAGGCCUGCUGUGGUUGGGUCAGUCGACAGGUGCAGCGUGGACUUUGCUCAUCUAUGAACCGCCCGUCCUGCCUGCAGAGGAGUCACCUUGUCCCUGCAGAGCGUUGCAUCUCUUCCGGUCUCUCUACAAACCCUCCACCUCCUCCUCCUCCUUCCCACCCCUCCUCCUCCUCCUCCUCCUCUUACUACUACUACUUCCUCUUUGCAGCCACGUGACCACAUGCUCCCCGCUACACCUGCACCCGUCCUGUCCUGUCUCUGCUCCUUCCACGUGGGACCGAAGCUACACUGACCUCUGGAGGUUCUCACAUCACUCAUGUUCUCAUUUCUAAACGUUGCAGUUUUUCUCUGCAUUAAACUCCGCCCCCUUGUAGAUCACCUGAGUGGUACCAGGAAACGAGGACUGCGGCAAGUGGAGUGUCCUCUGAGUGCUCACCUUCAACUUUAGACUGUGCAUACAUUCUUUGCACGCUCUCUUUGCAAGAUAGCAUCGCACGGGGCUGUUGAGUGAGAAUAGUCCCGCAAAACUGGGACAUAUUUACAUCUCAAAGGGACGAAAGUGCAGAGCAGAUGUUUGUGAAAGGGCAGAGGAAGAACAGAUGUGUCUUAUAAUAGAGGCUGCACUGUCAUUGUAAUCUCUGGAGUAAAAAUCCUGCAGCCCACACACACACACUCACUCACUCAUCCUUUACCAGCAUGAGCAGUGUUAUCAGUAGCAACAGAACAUUUCCAUGCACAACAUGGAACAUACACACAUGCACACAUGGGGGGAAAACGAGAGCGGGGCAGGGUGUCAUAUUGCAGGAGGAAGCUGUGUCCUCCAGAUGUCACCGAUGACGGAAAAGUACAGUCACGCCCGGCGGAGUCUCACAUCCUUCAGAUGGAGAGAGAGAGGGAGGAGGGGAUUAAAUGAUUAUCCCGUCCCUACUUUCUCUCCUUCUUUACGUUCUCGCUGUUCUCUGACGGAGAGAACUGCUGACUGCGACAUUCCUCCGUCGCCUGCUGCUGCACAGGAGCAGAAUGAGUUCACGGCACUUUAUUAUUAUCCCACAUUCAGACGUGAUGUGUCAUCAUGAGCUCACUCCGCUCUGGUACUGUACCAGGUUACAUUUUUAUCAUCCUUCUGGACAAAAUGCAUCAAGAAUUUUCAUCAGUUCCUACUCGUAUGUCGUCUUUUAUUCAAUGAUUUUGACAAAACUAGACACGCAUCUCUUUAUAACUAACAUGUCUGACUCCAUGUUUUUUAUAUAAAAAGUCCUGUCCUCUGCCU